CAGGCUGGCAAGGAGAUAAGGGAUGUUGGGAGUGUAGAUGUGAAACAACCACCGAGGAACAACAAUAAAGAAAAAAAGAGAGUUAGGGGAAAUUUGGAGAGACAAAACAGCAACGCAACAUAUUGUUAUUCAAAACAAACACAACUUGGAAAAAAUAGCACGGCGAUGUAGUUGGUUGGCACAGCGUUAAACAACCAAAAAAUGGGGGAGGGAGAGGAAUGAAGGAGACAGAGUGAGAGAGAGAGAAGAGGGAAAAAAAGGAAACAAGAAGCGCAACAAUAGAACUUGGUUUCCUCACAUUCUCAUUGGUCGACAGCGAGCAGCGACUCUAUUUUUUCUUUUUUCUUUUUCUCAAUUCCAGCAGGCUUAUACUUAGCUAGGCUGGCUGGGUGAGUAGUAGUUAGUAUACGGCCCCGUCAAAUGACAAACUAGAAAUACGAAGACGGAUAGAUUCCCUCAGCAGGCGGUUAGAUCGGAGGGGAGCAAGUGUAAGGAGAGGGAGGCGACCAGAAGUUGAGAAACCUGUAGCAGAAGGAAAAGAAGCAGAAAGCAAAA
rnacentral:sRNA from 2 species